rnacentral:misc_RNA from 1 species
AAAUAGCCCCGAUAGCAACGGUUACCCCGCAGCAAGUAUCAGCCGGAGAGCUGGCGCGAGGAGUAUGAGUGGAUAGCGGGAAACAGC